GCAAGAUCUCACCGUCCCUCACCAUGAUCAGGAUGAAGAAGUGAAAGACAUCAAAGCUGAGAUUAAAGAGGAAGAAGAAGAGACGUUGGUGAGUGGAGCUCAGCAGUCUACGGAGGAGGAAAAGGUGAACGUGAAAUGCAAACCGGAGGAAUCUUCUCUUUAUAUCGGCACAAAUGGGCACUACGUCUGGAAUACUUCUGAAGGACAUCUUGUUUUAUCACAACAUUAUAACGCAGAAGAUAACGCCAUCACACAAUAUUCUCCAGG